AAAAUGGCCCCAUUAGGGGCCAUUUCAACAGCAAAGAACCUGACGU
rfam:Rheinheimera sp. A13L DRAFT__contig00019, whole genome shotgun sequence.